CCUACGGGAGGCAGCAGUGAGGAAUAUUGGUCAAUGGACGGAAGUCUGAACCAGCCAUGCCGCGUGCAGGAAGACGGCGCUAUGAGUUGUAAACUGCUUUUGUACGAGGGUAAACCUGAAUACGUGUAUUCAGCUGAAAGUACUGUACGAAUAAGGAUCGGCUAACUCCGUGCCAGCAGCCGCGGUAAUACGGAGGAUCCAAGCGUUAUCCGGAUUUAUUGGGUUUAAAGGGUGCGUAGGCGGGUUGUUAAGUUAGAGGUGAAAUGUCCGGGCUUAACUCGGGAACUGCCUCUGAUACUGUUGGUCUAGAGAGUAGAUGCGGUAGGCGGAAUGUAUGGUGUAGGGGUGAAAUGCUUAGAGAUCAUAGAGAACACCGAUUGCGAAGGCAGCUUACCAGUCUAUAUCUGACGUUGAGGCACGAAAGCGGGGGGAGCAAACAGGAUUAGAUACCCUUGUAGUC
rnacentral:rRNA from 1 species